rnacentral:rRNA from 1 species
GACGAACGCUGGCGGCGUGCUUAACACAUGCAAGUCGAACGGAAAGGCCCUGCUUUUGUGGGGUGCUCGAGUGGCGAACGGGUGAGUAACACGUGAGUAACCUGCCCUUGACUUUGGGAUAACUUCAGGAAACUGGGGCUAAUACCGGAUAGGAGCUCCUGCUGCAUGGUGGGGGUUGGAAAGUUUCGGCGGUUGGGGAUGGACUCGCGGCUUAUCAGCUUGUUGGUGGGGUAGUGGCUUACCAAGGCUUUGACGGGUAGCCGGCCUGAGAGGGUGACCGGCCACAUUGGGACUGAGAUACGGCCCAGACUCCUACGGGAGGCAGCAGUGGGGAAUAUUGCACAAUGGGCGGAAGCCUGAUGCAGCAACGCCGCGUGCGGGAUGACGGCCUUUGGGUUGUAAACCGCUUUCACCUGUGACGAAGCGUGAGUGACGGUAAUGGGUAAAGAAGCACCGGCUAACUACGUG